rnacentral:misc_RNA from 1 species
CUAAGGAAUAAAACGGAACCUACACAUCGAAGAAACUUUGUUUAGUUUUGAGGGGUUUACCCUCAGAGCUUGUACUUUGAAAACUAAAUACUAUCUAAUUUCUUUAUUAACAAAACAAUAAACCGAGAACACCGCGUUAUUUGAGUUUUAAUUAACGAAUUAUAAUCGCUAACUCAAUUAAUCAGACAAUCUUUGAUUGUUUA